UGAACGCUGGCGGCGUGCCUAAUACAUGCAAGUCGAGCGAACAGACGAGGAGCUUGCUCCUCUGACGUUAGCGGCGGACGGGUGAGUAACACGUGGAUAACCUACCUAUAAGACUGGGAUAACUUCGGGAAACCGGAGCUAAUACCGGAUAAUAUAUUGAACCGCAUGGUUCAAUAGUGAAAGACGGUUUUGCUGUCACUUAUAGAUGGAUCCGCGCCGCAUUAGCUAGUUGGUAAGGUAACGGCUUACCAAGGCAACGAUGCGUAGCCGACCUGAGAGGGUGAUCGGCCACACUGGAACUGAGACACGGUCCAGACUCCUACGGGAGGCAGCAGUAGGGAAUCUUCCGCAAUGGGCGAAAGCCUGACGGAGCAACGCCGCGUGAGUGAUGAAGGUCUUCGGAUCGUAAAACUCUGUUAUUAGGAAAGAACAAAUGUGUAAGUAACUAUGCACGUCUUGACGGUACCUAAUCAGAAAGCCACGGCUAACUACGUG
rnacentral:rRNA from 1 species